GACGAACUCUGGCGGCGUGCUUAACACAUGCAAGUCGAACGAUGAAGCGGUGCUUGCACCGUGGAUUAGUGGCGAACGGGUGAGUAAUACGUGAGUGACCUACCUUUGACUCUGGGAUAAGCCUGGGAAACUGGGUCUAAUACCGGAUACGACCAAUCUCUGCAUGGGGUGUUGGUGGAAAGCGUUAUGGAGUGGUUUUAGAUGGGCUCACGGCCUAUCAGCUUGUUGGUGAGGUAAUGGCUUACCAAGGCGACGACGGGUAGCCGGCCUGAGAGGGUGACCGGCCACACUGGGACUGAGACACGGCCCAGACUCCUACGGGAGGCAGCAGUGGGGAAUAUUGCACAAUGGGCGCAAGCCUGAUGCAGCGACGCCGCGUGAGGGAUGACGGCCUUCGGGUUGUAAACCUCUGUUAGCAUCGAAGAAGCGAAAGUGACGGUAGGUGCAGAGAAAGCGCCGGCUAACUACGUGCCAGCAGCCGCGGUAAUACGUAGGGCGCGAGCGUUGUCCGGAAUUAUUGGGCGUAAAGAGCUUGUAGGCGGUUGGUCGCGUCUGCUGUGAAGGCCGGGGCUUAACUCCGGUUUUGCAGUGGGUACGGGCUAACUAGAGUGCAGUAGGGGAGACUGGAAUUCCUGGUGUAGCGGUGGAAUGCACAGAUAUCAGGAGGAACACCGAUGGCGAAGGCAGGUCUCUGGGCUGUAACUGACGCUGAGAAGCGAAAGCAUGGGGAGCGAACAGGAUUAGAUACCCUGGUAGUCCAUGCCGUAAACGUUGGGCACUAGGUGUGGGGGACAUUCCACGUUUUCCGCGCCGUAGCUAACGCAUUAAGUGCCCCGCCUGGGGAGUACGGCCGCAAGGCUAAAACUCAAAGGAAUUGACGGGGGCCCGCACAAGCGGCGGAGCAUGCGGAUUAAUUCGAUGCAACGCGAAGAACCUUACCAAGGCUUGACAUGCAUUAGAUCGCGUCAGAGAUGGCGUUUCCCUUCGGGGCUGGUGUACAGGUGGUGCAUGGUUGUCGUCAGCUCGUGUCGUGAGAUGUUGGGUUAAGUCCCGCAACGAGCGCAACCCUCGUUCUAUGUUGCCAGCGGUUCGGCCGGGGACUCAUAGGAGACUGCCGGGGUCAACUCGGAGGAAGGUGGGGAUGACGUCAAAUCAUCAUGCCCCUUAUGUCUUGGGCUUCACGCAUGCUACAAUGGCCGGUACAGAGGGUUGCGAUACUGUGAGGUGGAGCUAAUCCCUUAAAGCCGGUCUCAGUUCGGAUUGGGGUCUGCAACUCGACCCCAUGAAGUCGGAGUCGCUAGUAAUCGCAGAUCAGCAACGCUGCGGUGAAUACGUUCCCGGGCCU
rnacentral:rRNA from 1 species